rnacentral:tRNA from 1 species
CGGGAUAUAGCGCAGUCUGGUAGCGCAUCUGCUUUGGGAGCAGAGGGUCGUUGGUUCGAAUCCAGCUAUCCCGA